UUUUGACCCAAGAAACACCUAUCACCU
rnacentral:piRNA from 1 species